rnacentral:rRNA from 1 species
UACGUAGGGACCGAGCGUUGUCCGGAAUCAUUGGGCGUAAAGAGCGUGUAGGCGGCCACUUAAGCCCUGCGUGAAAUCUUGCGGCUCAACCGCAAGCGGUCGUGGGAAACUGGGUGGCUGGAGUGCGGCAGAGGAGACUGGAAUUCCUGGUGUAGCAGUGAAAUGCGUAGAUAUCAGGAGGAAUACCGAUGGCGAAGGCAGGUCUCUGGGCUGACACUGACGCUCAUGCACGAAAGCGUGGGGAGCAAACAGG